GAUGAACGCUGGCGGCGUGCCUAAUACAUGCAAGUCGAGCGAACAGACGAGGAGCUUGCUCCUCUGACGUUAGCGGCGGACGGGUGAGUAACACGUGGAUAACCUACCUAUAAGACUGGGAUAACUUCGGGAAACCGGAGCUAAUACCGGAUAAUAUAUUGAACCGCAUGGUUCAAUAGUGAAAGACGGUUUUGCUGUCACUUAUAGAUGGAUCCGCGCCGCAUUAGCUAGUUGGUAAGGUAACGGCUUACCAAGGCGACGAUGCGUAGCCGACCUGAGAGGGUGAUCGGCCACACUGGAACGGGGACGCGGUCCAUACUCCUACGGGAGGCAGCAGUAGGGAAUCUUCGGCAAUGGGCGAAAGCAUGACGGAGCAACGCCGCGUGAGUGAUGAAGGUCUUCGGAUCGUAAAACUCUGUUAUUAGGGAAGAACAAAUGUGUAAGUAACUAUGCACGUCUUGACGGUACCUAAUCAGAAAGCCACGGCUAACUACGUG
rnacentral:rRNA from 1 species